rnacentral:rRNA from 1 species
UACAGAGGGGGCAAGCGUUGUUCGGAAUUACUGGGCGUAAAGGGCGCGUAGGCGACCUUCUAAGUCGAACGUGAAAUCCCCGGGCUCAACCCGGGAACUGCGUCCGAUACUGGAAGGCUUGAAUCCGGGAGAGGGAUGCGGAAUUCCAGGUGUAGCGGUGAAAUGCGUAGAUAUCUGGAGGAACACCGAUGGCGAAGGCAGCCUUCUGGGCCAACACUGACGCUCAUGCACGAAAGCGUGGGGAGCAAACAGG